UCUUCAUGAAGUCUUCUGGCCAAUUAGGAG
rnacentral:piRNA from 1 species